rnacentral:rRNA from 1 species
GACGAACGCUGGCGGCGUGCUUAACACAUGCAAGUCGAGCGAUGAAGCUUCUUCGGAAGUGGAUUGGCGGCGGACGGGUGAGUAACACGUGGGUAACCUGCCUCGUAGAGGGGAAUAGCCUUCCGAAAGGAAGAUUAAUACCGCAUAUGGUAGCUUUAUCGCAUGAUAGUGCUAUUAAAGGAGCAAUCCGCUAUGAGAUGGACCCGCGUCGCAUUAGCUAGUUGGUGAGGUAACGGCUCACCAAGGCGACGAUGCGUAGCCGACCUGAGAGGGUGAUCGGCCACAUUGGGACUGAGACACGGCCCAGACUCCUACGGGAGGCAGCAGUGGGGAAUAUUGCACAAUGGGGGAAACCCUGAUGCAGCAACGCCGCGUGAGUGAUGACGGUCUUCGGAUUGUAAAACUCUGUCUUCAGGGACGAUAAUGACGGUACCUGAGGAGGAAGCCACGGCUAACUACGUGCCAGCCGCCGCAGUAAAAC